AGGUGAUGUGAAUUCUAUGAUCUGUGUCCACACAUUUUUAAAAGCCACUGCUCUAGACUCUGCUAAGAUGCCUGAGUGUUUCUCCACUUGCCCUCUCUUCCACCUCCUUACAUCUAGACCAGACUUCUCUGAGCCCAAAAGGACUAGAAGUUGCAGGUCCUUCUAGUUGUGGUAUGCUGCCUCUGCAUGGCCUGACGAGUGGUAGCCUGUCUGCUCCCAGGAUCCAAACUGGUGAAACCCUGGGCCACCAAAGCGGAGCAUGCGAACUUAACCACUUGGCCACCUGGCCGGGCCCAGAUAAUAGCCAUUCUAGAGUUGCUCAGCUAAUUUUGGGGCUCCUUUUAGAAGAAAUUGUUUCAUAUGUAGCUGUAGAUUCUGUGGCUUCAUGCAAAGAGUCCUCUGUCUCUUCUGAUACAAAUAUUUCAUCAGACCUGAAGAAUUGGCUACUUGGUCCACAUAAACCAACCAUGUUAAACACCAUUCAUCACAGCCUGACCAGCCUGGGAGACUCCUGGCCAUCCAAUAGAAACCAUUUCCUCAGGGCACAUUGUCCUCUGUGGGUCCUCGUCGACCGACCUUAGCAGAAACAGUAAAGAGAAAGCUUGGAGCCCCUAGGAGGCCAUUUACUAUUGCUUUAUUUUGUAAUGUUUUUUAAAAAACAAAAACUUUGGUUUUCUAGGUUUAUUCGUUUAAUUUUCCAGCCUGUGAACCUGUAAGCAUUCAGUGACUGGGUAAAAAUAUUACCCAGUAAAAAAAUUACAUAUAAAUGUUGACACUAACAGGUGACAAAUAAGUAGUCACCUGUUUCUAGAAUGCUUUUUUUUGGCUCUAAAUCUGUCACAGAGACAAACUUGGGUCAGAUUAGGCUCACAUCUUACUAAAACUUUAGUUGCAGACAAUACAUGUUACUUUCCCAAGAGUUGAUGGUCUGUCUUAGUUUGAGCUUCCCCAAAGGCAGACCUGAGUCAAUAAGUUGAGUGUAAGAAGUUAUUGGGAGGGCAAGGAAUACUGGCAUGGGAAAGGGGAAUUAACGUAGGAAAGGAAAGAGAAAAUACGAGUGAAUUAUUAAGCUGCCUCCCAUAGUAGGUGGCUUAAUUACACACAGAAGCUCUGGAAAGUAGUGCGAAACCCAAGCCUUAGAAUUAUCCUGCCAUGGAGAAAAGGAGCUGAGGUAUUUAUACCCCUAUAUCCGUCAGUCACUGAGUAGGGACUUCCUUUGGCAGUCCUCAGGUACCACUCUCCUUUAGAGAGGCAGAGACUGGCUGUUGGAAGUCCGGUUGGGUACACAUGGAAAUGGUAUAUGGGUUAAAAGAAAUUUGGGGGAACAUACCGGACACAUUAAAUAUGGUAUCUGAGAGGGAAAAUACAGUCAAUAUUUGCACCAUGAGAGAUACAGUAAAUCAAUUAGGUAAAUAUUUUAUUUAUAAUUAAGUAUGUCUACUACAAGUCUUCAAUUAAUUGUUUUAGAACUAUUAAACUAUUUUCAGAACUGCAUGCAAUUUUUUAGAAUUAUUAAAAUGGGCUUUCGUUCAUUCUAAUCGCUAAAGAUUUUUGAAUCUUGAAUCUGUCUUCCAAAAUAUUUGUUUCUCCCAAGUUUGUUAGUUUGAUUC
rnacentral:lncRNA from 1 species